rnacentral:ncRNA from 2 species
GGGAAUCCGGUGCGAAUCCGGAACUGUCCCGCAACGGUGUACUCGCGUGCGUUCAUGCCCUUCUGCGCACGCCUGUUCAGUCCGAACACC